rnacentral:rRNA from 1 species
AGCGAACGCUGGCGGCAGGCUUAACACAUGCAAGUCGAACGCACUCUUCGGAGUGAGUGGCAGACGGGUGAGUAACACGUGGGAACGUGCCCUUCGAUUCGGAAUAACUCAGGGAAACUUGAGCUAAUACCGGAUACGCCCUUCGGGGGAAAGAUUUAUCGUCGAAGGAUCGGCCCGCGUCUGAUUAGCUAGUUGGUGGGGUAAUGGCCUACCAAGGCGACGAUCAGUAGCUGGUCUGAGAGGAUGAUCAGCCACACUGGGACUGAGACACGGCCCAGACUCCUACGGGAGGCAGCAGUGGGGAAUAUUGGACAAUGGGCGAAAGCCUGAUCCAGCCAGGCCGCGUGAGUGAUGAAGGCCUUAGGGUUGUAAAGCUCUUUUAUCCGGGAAGAUAAUGACUGUACCGGAAGAAUAAGCCCCGGCUAACUUCGUGCCAGCCGCCGCUGUAAUAC